AUUCCAGCUCCAAUAGCGUAUAUUAAAGUUGUUGCAGUUAAAAAGCUCGUAGUUGGAUCUCGGGAGCGAGCGAGCGGUCGGGCGUUCAGCCGUGUACUUCUCACUCAUCCUACUGACCGGUACGUGCCCUGUGCUCUUAACCGAGUGUAGGGACCGUCUGGUGCGUUUACUUUGAAAAAAUUAGAGUGCUCAAAGCAGACGAGUCGUCUGAAUAGCCGUGCAUGGAAUAAUGGAAUAGGACCUCGGUUCUAUUUUGUUGGUUCUCGGAAGUCGAGGUAAUGAUUAAGAGGGACAGACGGGGGCAUUCGUACUGGGCCGCCAGAGGUGAAAUUCUUUAACUGGCUCAUGACGAACAACUGCGAAAGCAUUUACCAAGGAUGUUUUCAUCA
rnacentral:rRNA from 1 species